rnacentral:rRNA from 1 species
UACGGAAGGAGCAAGCGCUAAUCGGAAUUACUGAGGCGUAAAGCGCGCGUAUGCGGCUUGCUAAGUCGGGAGUGAAAGCCCCGGGCUCAACCUGAGAACUGCUUUCUAUACUGCUGGCCUGCACUACAAGAGAGGAGGGUGUAAUUCCAGGUGUGGCGGAGAAGUGCGUACAGAUCUGGAGGAACACCGGUGACUAAGGCGCCCCCCUGCCUCCAUACUGACGCUGAGGUGCGAAAGCGCGGGGAGCAAACAGGAUUAGAUACCCUGGUAGUCCACGCCGUAAACGAUGUCUGCUAGCCGUGGGGAUCCUUGAGGUCUCGGUGGCGCAGCUCACGCGAUAAGCAGACCGCCUGGGGAGUACGGCCGCAAGGUUAAAACUCAAAUGAAUUGACGGGGGCCCGCACAAGCGGUGGAGCAUGUGGUUUAAUUCGAUGCAACGCGAAGAACCUUACCAGGUCUUGACAUCCAGCGAACCCUGCAGAGAUGCGGGGGUGCCUUCGGGAGCCAUGAGACAGGUGCUGCAUGGCAGUCGUCACCUCGCGUCGUGAGAUGUUGGGUUAAGUACCCUAACGAGCGCAACCCUCGUCCUUAGCUGCUAGCGGUCCGGCCGAGCACUCUAGGGAGACUGCCGGUGACAAACCGGAGGAAGGCGGGGACGACGUCAAGUCAUCAUGGCCCCUACGGCCUGGGCUACACACGUGCUACAAUGGCCGGUACAGAGGGCUGUGAAAGCCCGACCAGGAGCGCAUCCUUGAAAACCGGUCGUAGUCCGGAUCGGAGUCUGCAACUCGACUCCGAGAAGUCGGAAUCGCUAGUAAUCGCGAACCAGAAUGUCGCGGUGAAUACGUUCCCGGGCCU